GUGGGGAAUCUUGCGCAAUGGGCGAAAGCCUGACGCAGCCAUGCCGCGUGAAUGAUGAAGGUCUUAGGAUUGUAAAAUUCUUUCACCGGGGACGAUAAUGACGGUACCCGGAGAAGAAGCCCCGGCUAACUUCGUGCCAGCAGCCGCGGUAAUACGAAGGGGGCUAGCGUUGCUAGGAAUUAAUGGGCGUAAAGGGCGCGUAGGCGGACAGUUUAGUCAGAGGUGAAAGCCCAGGGCUCAACCUUCGAAUUGCCUUUGAUACUGGCUAUCUUGAGUACGGGAGAGGUGAGGGGAACUCCGAGUGUAGAGGUGAAAUUCGUAGAUAUUCUGAAGAACACCAGUGGCGAAGGCGACUCACUGGCCCGUUACUGACGCUGAGGCGCGAAAGCGUGGGGAGCAAACAGGAUUAGAUACCCCUGUAGUCC
rnacentral:rRNA from 1 species